CAAGGACUUGGGGCUCCCAAGUGGCUAUGCCGGGCGCCUAUCCCUCGGCCAAUC
rnacentral:ncRNA from 1 species